rnacentral:snRNA from 1 species
AGUUUUGUGCAGUGGCAGUAUGAUAGCCAAUGAGCUUUAUCCGAGGCACAUUUAUAGCUAAUUGAAAACUUCUCAUUUUUUUAAAGCGAUUGGACAGUAAAACUGUGAGAACUAAAUAUUUAC